GUGAUUUGUCUGGUUAAUUCCGUUAACGAACGAGACCCCCGCCUGCUAAAUAGCGUGGCUUACGCAUUCGCGUAGGUGGGCGCUUCUUAGAGGGACUUUCGGUGACUAACCGAAGGAAGUUGGGGGCAAUAACAGGUCUGUGAUGCCCUUAGAUGUCCUGGGCCGCACGCGCGCUACACUGAUGCAUGCAACGAGUUCCUUUUUUCCCUGGGUCGAGAGGCUUGGGUAAUCUUUGGAACGUGCAUCGUGAUAGGGAUAGAUCAUUGCAACUAUUGAUCUUGAACGAGGAAUUCCUAGUAAACGCGAGUCAUCAGCUCGCAUUGAUUACGUCCCUGCCCUUUGUACACACCGCCCGUCGCACCUACCGAUUGAAUGUUUCGGUGAAGAUUCCGGACCGCGACGCCAGAGUGCUUCACGGCGCUCUGGUCGUGGGAAGUUGUCUAAACCUCAACAUUUAGAGGAAGGUGAAGUCGUAACAAGGUUU
rnacentral:rRNA from 1 species